GGGAACUUGUUAAAAAGCAGAUUGUGUUUCAGCAAGUCUGAGAUGGAGCCUCAGAUUCUGCAUUUCUAAAAAGUUC
rnacentral:miRNA from 10 species